CAUACAGUAGCUCAGUGGUAGAGCUAUCGGCUGUUAACCGAUCGGUCGUAGGUUCGAGUCCUACCUGUGGAGCCA
rnacentral:tRNA from 1 species